rnacentral:rRNA from 1 species
UACAGAGGGUGCGAGCGUUAAUCGGAUUUACUGGGCGUAAAGCGUGUGUAGGCGGUUCGUUAAGUCGGAUGUGAAAGCCCUGGGCUCAACCUGGGAAUUGCACUCGAUACGGGCGAGCUAGAGUACGGUAGAGGGCGGCGGAAUUCCGGGUGUAGCGGUGAAAUGCGUAGAUAUCCGGAGGAACACCGAUGGCGAAGGCAACCGCCUGGGCCUGUACUGACGCUGAGACACGAAAGCGUGGGGAGCAAACAGG